rnacentral:lncRNA from 1 species
UAAUGAUUUAUAAAAUUGUUGUUUGAUCAAAAAAAAAAACAUCUCCAACAGGUCUUAAAAAUGAAAAACCCCUCAAUUUUUGAUGUUUUUUUUAUUCUCCAACAUACUUUCAAACUCUCAAAUUUUGAUGUCAAGAAUAGUGAAAUCUCAAAUUUGAAGGUCCAUUAUUCAGACAUUCAAAACACUAUUUAUUUUUCAUUUUAGUCCUUCUAGUUAUUCAACUUACAUAUAAUUGUAUUUGUAUUAAUUUUUGUAUCACUUUAAUCUUCAUAAAUAUAUUUCUUUUAAAUAUAUA